AUGAUACUGUGAAUAUUUACAGCAGACGACUUCACUUCUGAAUUGGAGACAGAGGUGACAAAAGGGGAGAUAGAGUGUAAGGACAUCUUGAUGAGGACUGUGUUAGGACUGAGAGGAAGGAUAAAACAAUUCAUUACAGAUAAGAAGGACAAUAUAAGCAAAGACAAGAUCUUAGAAGAGCUGUGGUUAUUAUGGGAGCAGAAAAUGAGCGAGUCUGAUAAGAGUAAAGAGGGUGACUGCAAUUAAGGUGAAGAACAUGCAUUUCUGUUACAUGGUGCAUAGGUUAGAGGGGUUCAUUAGUAAUGAUUGCUCUGCUCUGGGAUGAGCAAGUAUAUACUACAGUUUUAGCAACUUUGUAACUGCUGGAGUUGAGACCUAUGGGGCUCUCCAAUCAAGAAGGCAAAGCAGUUACUGAACACUAAGUUUUUGGCUUCCUGGCAAAUUUGAUAGAGAAUAGUGGGGUUCUAAGCCACUAACAUGUGUUUCCUAAGUGUCUUUCAGUAACUGCAUUAAACCUCAGGUGUGUUUCAUUAACGACUUUAAAUUCAUUUCAGUGGAUGUCAUCCAGGCUCAUACAUGUUUGCAUAUAAGCAUAUAUACCUUUUAAGUAUUUGCAAAACUCAACACAUUUUUAAAAACACUGAAACUUUCUAAUUAUGCAUGCACCUUGAAAACACACACACACAUACACACACACACAAUGUUUAUGGAAGUAUCUGCAGAGGUUAAAAGAAGACAUCAGUCUCUGAACAUUCCUUU
rnacentral:lncRNA from 1 species